AGAGUUUGAUCCUGGCUCAGAUUGAACGCUGGCGGCGUGCCUAACACAUGCAAGUCGAGCGGUAACAGGUGUAGCAAUACAUGCUGACGAGCGGCGAACGGGUGAGUAAUGCUUCGGAAUCUACCCAGUAGUGGGGAAUAACUAACCGAAAGGUUAGCUAAUACCGCAUACGUCCUACGGGAGAAAGCGGGGGUCGCAAGACCUCGCGCUAUUGGAUGAGCCGAAGUCGGAUUAGCUAGUUGGUGAGGUAACGGCUCACCAAGGCGACGAUCCGUAGCUGGUCUGAGAGGACGACCAGCCACACUGGAACUGAGACACGGUCCAGACUCCUACGGGAGGCAGCAGUGGGGAAUAUUGGACAAUGGGGGAAACCCUGAUCCAGCGACGCCGCGUGUGUGAAGAAGGCCUGCGGGUUGUAAAGCACUUUUAGUGGGGAUGAAAAGUUCAGGGCUAAUACCUCUGGGCAUUGACCUAACCCACAGAAAAAGCACCGGCUAACUCUGUGCCAGCAGCCGCGGUAAUACAGAGGGUGCAAGCGUUAAUCGGAAUUACUGGGCGUAAAGCGUGCGUAGGCGGUUUCGUAAGUCGGGUGUGAAAGCCCCGGGCUCAACCUGGGAAUUGCAUUCGAGACUGCGAAGCUAGGGUGCGGAAGAGGGAAGCGGAAUUUCCGGUGUAGCGGUGAAAUGCGUAGAUAUCGGAAGGAACAUCAGUGGCGAAAGCGGCUUCCUGGUCCAGCGCCGACGCUCAGGCACGAAAGCGUGGGGGGCAAACAGGAUUAGAUACCCUUGUAGUCC
rnacentral:rRNA from 1 species